UACGUAGGUGGCAAGCGUUAUCCGGAUUUACUGGGUGUAAAGGGCGCGUAGGCGGGCGUGCAAGUCAGAUGUGAAAUCUAUGGGCUUAACCCAUAGCGUGCAUUUGAAACUGUGCGUCUUGAGUGAUGGAGAGGUAAGUGGAAUUCCUAGUGUAGCGGUGGAAUGCGUAGAUAUUAGGAGGAACACCAGUGGCGAAGGCGACUUACUGGACAUUAACUGACGCUGAGGCGCGAAAGCGUGGGGAGCAAACAGGAUUAGAUACCCUGGUAGUCCACGCUGUAAACGAUGAAUACUAGGUGUGGGGGGACUGACCCCCUCCGUGCCGCAGUUAACACAAUAAGUAUUCCACCUGGGGAGUACGAUCGCAAGGUUGAA
rnacentral:rRNA from 1 species